GCUUGCAUAGACGACCGAUAUUGGUUUGUGAAUGGCCAGUAAGCAGGCCGAUAUUUACACAAUGCAAUUUAAUGACAGCAAAUGAGAUGUACAUAAAAUCAGGGACUAAUAACGGCUCAAGGAAUGAAAACCGAUUUUUAGCAUAACAUAACCGAAACAAAGUGAUUUUCAAUUGUUCCGGAUUUAAAUUGUUAUUUAUUUAUUUUGUAUUUUCUCCCUAAUUUGGAAUGCCCAAUGCCCUUUAAGUCCUUGUGGUGGCGUAGUGACUCAAUCCGGGUGGCGGAGGACGAAUCUCAGCUGCCUCCUCGUCUGAGACCGUCAAUCCACACAUCUUAUCACGUGGCUCCACCUAACGCGUGUGGAGGCUUCACGCUAUUCUCCGCGGCAUCCAAGUACAACUCCCCACACGCCCACCGAGAGCGAGAACCACAUUAUACCGACCACGGAGAGGUUACCUCAUGUGACUCUACCCUCCCUAGCAACCGGGCCAAGUAGUUGCAAAUGAGUAAAAUCAAUAUGCACAGUACAACUUAAUUGUAGUGUAACUUAGUUACCCUAAUGUUUAUGUGAUCUCAUUUUUGGCUUUGCAUUGGCUUUGCAUUAGAAGUCAUAAUUAUUAGUAAUGAUGAAUUUAUACUCCUAAAUGCUUUGAUAUUUCUCUGCUGAAGGUAUCUGUAGCUGUAAAUGGGUGGUUUGUUAAUCAGGUGACACAUCUGUGGGCUUCUCCUCACACAAGGUCUCAAUUGCGCUCAGGACAAAUGCUGCAUUGGGUUUUGCUCAGAUCCUGCCAAAGGAUCAGUAUCUGUUCACUUAAGAGCAGCUGUUUGAGAGAAUGUGCAGGCCAUCACCUUCAACAAGGUCACCACAGGUAUGACCAUGACAUUUUUGUGUAGUUUAAAUGCAUUCUUUAUUCGCCUAAAUUGUUUUAGUUUCUUUAGGAGAAAAGGUUCGGCUGCUUCCAUUGGGUAUGUUAGGCUUUACUAUUCUCAGCACUGAUAAUUACGACUGGGAAACUUUGCCAUUUCGUUCAUAUUUGCCAGUCAGUAUAUACAGAUACAGAUAUAAUAUAUGGUAGUAAACUCCACAUAAUGUAACUUUAAACACCUCUUUGGUGUUCAGGAUGAUCUGCGGAUGGUGACGUGUGUCGCCUACUCCAUGGUGAAGCAGUAUGGCGUGGUAGUGAGUGUGGGACAUGUGUCAUUCCCAGACUCAGUGUGGUAUUGGACGGAGAACCUUCAGUCAAGGCCUCCAACAGCAGAUGGACCAUGAAGCGAAGAUAGCACAAGCCUACAGACACAGAGAAAUUGAUGUUGGACAACAGAGACAAUCUCCUUUUGCUGGCUAAUACUUUGCUGGAGAGGGAGGUGAGGCUUUGCCUGGACCUUCUCUAUUUGGACCCAAAAAGGUUGCUCCUCAAAGCUGGGUGGAUGCUGAGAGAGACAAGCAGGACACGGGUGAAGAUGAGCCGUACCCGAGACCCUAAAGACUCCGCCGCAAAGACAACAAAGACGAUGACGUCAACCUGAGCCUAGCAUGAGCUCCACAACACACAAACACAAUCCCAGUGUUUGGUCACAUGUGGAAGUCAAGGAGUGUGGAGUGCUUGCCUUUGACAAUCAGUCCGAAUUAUCAAAUCGUGCUUUAAGUGUAAAAGCUCAAUGUUACAUUUACAUUUAUGCAUGUGGCAGACGCUUUUAUCCAAAGCGACUUACAGUGCACUUAUUACAGGGACAAUCCCCCCCGGAGCAACCUGGAGUUAAGUGCCUUGCUCAAGGACACAACAGUGGCAUCUUGGUGGUGCUGGGGCUUGAACCCCAACCUUCUGGUCAG